CUGUUUGGCGAAGACACUGCCAACAGAUUUUUGGAGAAGUGGCCCACCAGUCUCAAAUCCAAGGUUAUAAAGGAAAGCCAUGGCCUGGUACCUACCACUGAGCUCUUGGAUUUAUUGCGGAAUGCCGAGUUGGCUGCUGAGGCUGAGAAUGGUUGGGAUAGUGACAUGUCUGCUAUUUUGCUUCUGCUGCAUCUGCUACCACCAUCUGCACAAGGACGAAGAGGCCGGGUAAGAUGUCUGCAUCUCAAGCAGUGGAUCACCUCAUCAGAUUUCUUAAGGUUGGAACCAGUGUACAGAGGCAUCUUGACAAAAUCAUGCAACGUACCCAGCCCUACCUCCUUGCCCAGGGAUCCAUCCAAAGCAGUAUUCACACAUUCUUAAUUGUGAUUGACAACUGUGCUAUUCCAUGUAAGGCAACAUGUUCAGUUGGAGCUCUUGAUGAGCUCUUCAAGGCCCAUUAUGUGUUUGGUACGUCAUACAGUGCUCCCUUGACCAACUUCUUCACUUUUCUCCAAACAGUUGUUGUGUUAUGUUUUUUCACACAACUGAAAACUUCUCAGUUGAUGUGAUGCAGGACAUUUUUGAAGGUUUUGGCCAGUACAAGUUUUUUAAAGAACACAUUACAUUGGAGGAACUGAAUUUGAGAAUAUUAACUUUUGACUAUGGAUUCAUGGAAAGGAACAACAGGCCAGUGGCUGUGAAUUUAUGUGGAGAAUCGAAUGAUCUGGGACUAAAUGCAGUUCAAUCAUGGUGCUUUCUGAAGAAUGUUCCUCUCAUGUUUGGAGAUCUGGUAACAUCUGAUAAUCCACACUGGGGCCUCCUCCUUUUACUACUACAAAUUGUAAAUAUUGUUCUUUCUCCAAGGUCUGUGUGUAUAUUUAAAACACUUGAUUGUGGAUCAUCACAAACUGUUUAAAAAGUUGUAUCCACAGAAAAAACUUUUACCAAAGCACCAUUUUCUCA